UGGAAUGCCUUCAAACACUCUCUUGUUAUGGUUGUUCGAAGAUGAAGAGUUUUCCGGAAAUCAAGGGUAAUAUGGGAAGUCUAAGAGAACUUGAUUUAAGUGAAACAGAUAUAAUAGAAGUACCAUCAUCAAUCAGGCAUCUACAUGGGCUUAAAACCUUGAAGUUAAGUGAUUGCUUAAACCUUGUGAGUCUUCAGGUCGGUAUUUGUAGUUUGAGCUCUCUUCAAACUCUUUUGAUGGAUGGGAGUUUAGAACUAAAGGCCUUUCUAGAUAUCAAUAUUGGAAGUCUAAAAGCCCUUGAAUGGUUAGAUUUGUCAUAUUGCGAAAACCUUGAGAGUCUUCCGGAUAGUAUUUGUAGUUUGACCUCUCUUCAAACUCUUUUGCUGAAUGGGUGUUCAAAACUGAAAGCCUUUCCAUACAUCAAUAUUGGAAGCCUCAAAGCUCUUGAAUUGUUAGCUUUGUCAUAUUGCGAAAACCUUGAGAGUCUUCCGGACAGUAUUUGUAAUUUGACAUCUCUUCAAACUCUCAUGUUAAAAGAGUGUUCAAAAUUGAAGGGCUUUCCAGAUAUCAAUAUUGGAAGUCUAAAAGCUCUUAAAUUGUUAGAUUUGUCAUAUUGCGAAAACCUGACAGUAUUUGUAGUUUGACCUCUCUUCAAACUCUUUUGCUGAAUGGGUGUUCAAAAUUGAAGGCUUUUCCGGAUAUUAAUAUUGCAAAUCUAAAAGCUCUUGAAUUGUUAGAUUUUUCAUAUUGUGAAAACUUUGGGAGUCUUCCAGAUAGGAUUUGUAGCUUAACCUCUCUUCAAACUCUUUUGUUGAAAAAGUGUUCAAAAUUGAAGGCCUUUCCAGAUAUCAAUAUUGGAAGUCUAAAAGCUCUUAAAUUGUUAGAUUUGUCAUAUUGCGAAAACCUUAAGAGUCUUCCAGACAGUAUUUGUAGUUUGACCUCUCUUCAAACUCUUUUUUUGAAUGGGUGUUCAAAAUUGAAGGCCUUUCCAGAUAUCAAUAUUGGAAGUCUAAAAGCUCUUGAAUUGUUAGAUUUGUCAUAUUGCAAAAACCUUGAGAGUCUUCCGCAUAGUAUUUGUAGUUUGACCUCUCUCCAAACACUUUUGUUGAAUGGGUGUUCAAAACUGAAGGCCUUUCCAGAUAUCAAUAUUGGAAGUCUAAAAGCUCUUAAAUUGUUAGAUUUGUCUUAUUGCAUAUACCUUGAGAGUCUUCCGCACAGUAUUUGUAGUUUGACCUCUCUUCAAACUCUUUUGUUGAAUGGGUGUUCAAAAUUGAAGGCCUUUCCAUGUAUCAAUAUUGGAAGUCUAAAAGCUCUUAAAUUGUUAAAUUUGUCAUAUUGCGAAAACCUUGAGAGUCUUCCGGAUAGUAUUUGUAAUUUGACCUCUCUUCAAACUCUUUUGCUGAAUGGGUGUUCAAAACUGAAGGCCUUUCCAGAUAUCAAUAUUGGAUGUCUAAAAGCCCUUGAAUUGUUAGACUUCUCAUAUUGCAAAAACCUUGAGAGUCUUCCGCACAGUAUUUGUAGUUUGACCUCUCUUCAAACUCUUUUGCUGAAUGGGUGUUCAAAACUAAAGGCUUUUCCAGAUAUCAAUGUUGGAAGUCUAAAAGUUCUAGAAUUGUUAGAUUUGUCAUAUUGCGAAAGCCUUGAGAGUUUUCCGGACAGUAUUUGUAGUUUGACCUCUCUUCAAACUCUUUGGCUGAAUGGGUGUUCAAAACUGAAGGUCUUUCCAGAUGUCAAUAUUGGAAGUCUAAAAGCUCUUGAAUUGUUAGAUUUGUCAUGUUGUAAAAAGCUUGAGAGUCUUCCGAUGAGCAUUUGCAAUUUGAGCUCUCUCAAAACUCUGCGGAUUAAAGAUUGUCCAAAACUCAAGGGAAUAUUAAAGAUGAACCUAGGGGUUGAUUUAUGCUCCUCGAGAUCUUUGAAUCUGACUUGUCACAUUUCAAAUUCAGGAGUAAUCUGGGAUAAUGACUGCUUUUCCUCAUUAAAAGCAUUAAAUCCAUGGUGCCCCCUGUCAUCACUGGUAGAAUUAUCUGUAAGAAACUCUAAUCUCAUGGAACGAGACAUCCUCAGUGCUAGUUUUCGCUUAUCCUCAAUGCAAAUAUUAUCUCUAAGGAACUUCCCUUUGAUGGUAGGAGGAAUCCUUGAUGACAUUUUCCAUCUAUCUUCAUUGGUAGAAUUAUCUCUUAGUGAAUGCAAUCUGAUGGAAGUAGGAACCCUCCAUUAUGUUUGGAACCUAUCUUCACUGCUAAGAUUAUAUCUAAGAAACUGUAAUCUAAUGGAAGGAGAGAUCCCCAAUCAUAUUUGGCACCUAUCAUCAUUG
rnacentral:lncRNA from 1 species